GUUUGAUCAUGGCUCAGGAUGAACGCUGGCGGCAUGCCUAACACAUGCAAGUUGAACGAGAAGUUCUGGAGGGAGUCUUCGGACGAACGAAGGGAUGGAAAGUAGCGAACGGGUGAGUAACGCGUGGGCAACCAACCUUACACAGGGGGAUAACACAGAGAAAUCUGUGCUAAUACCGCAUAAGCGCACAGUAUCACAUGAUACGGUGUGAAAAACUCUGGUGGUGUAAGACGGGCCCGCGUCUGAUUAGCUAGUUGGUGGGGUAAAAGCCUACCAAGGCGACGAUCAGUAGCCGACCUGAGAGGGUGAUCGGCCACAUUGGGACUGAGACACGGCCCAAACUCCUACGGGAGGCAGCAGUGGGGGAUAUUGCACAAUGGAGGAAACUCUGAUGCAGCAAUGCCGCGUGAAGGAAGACGGUUUUCGGAUUGUAAACUUCUAUCAGCAGGGAAGAAAAUGACG
rnacentral:rRNA from 1 species